rnacentral:lncRNA from 1 species
UCUUGUUAUAUUGUCAUAUUACAGACACUAAUAUACUAUAGAUACUGGUUAAACUUCAUGGUAGAGCUGACAGCUACCGAGGAGCCUCUCAGGCUUAACUCCAGUGAAUUCAGUGUUAGCUGGCAUUAAGUGGAGUGAUUUUAAAGUGAUUGAACAAGACACUUCUGUUGCGCUGGAAGGUGAGGUGGACAAGAAGCAAGUUUCGUUUUGCCUACUAGGCAAUACCAACAAUGUGUUGGACGGUGAGCUGUUGGGCCAAGAUGGCCAUGGUGACUUUGGUUUUCGGCGUGACACUGCACACUGUCGGCUGGACCUACAUGAACUGGAUGGCAUAUAAGACUUCCGGUUCCGUGCUGGAGAGAGUAGCGGGACUUUGGAAUCAGAAGUCAUGGAACAACAUCAUGGAUAUAGUGAGGAUCAUCGCGGCCACCUUCAACAUAUUCCUCCUGGUCAUCUUCUUCUUGCCGAUGAACUUGGAAUGCCGAAUGGCAAUAGCCGCGUUUGUCCUCCUCUGCCUCGUGUUGCAAAGUGUCUGAUACUCGUAUAUAUGCGUUUAUAUGAUUGUCUUCAUGUUGAAAAGUGUCUGACGCUCGUAUAUGUAAGUCUUUCAUUGUGUGUGAAUAUUUACAUCAAUUAUCAUGUUAUCUCUUGUAUAUACACAUCUGUACAUAGCUAUGGUAUGAUAAUGUGUGUGAGAGAAAGAACAGAAUGUAGAGGAACAUCUUAGUCUGCUUUUGGUGAUAUUAUAACAUUCUUAGUUGUGUGUGUGUGUGUGCGUGCGUUUGCGAGCACACUGGAGGGCUCAUGUCUACAAAUAGACUUAUUUGCCAACUUCGCCGUUUUAACGAGUACUUUAUGUUUACACGCAGCUUGUAUUUCAUGUUGUGUGUAUACCCAUCUGUACAUAGAUAUGGUACGUUAAUAAACACGUGACAAGCAUAUUUGAAUGAUUUUAUUUCUUUCUUACGUGUUCGAGUGCCGGUGUAUUCUGUACUUUUUUCAAUAGUCGAGAGGCGUGUGCAACAUGAAUCACAGAUAUAACAUCUUGCAGCUGCUUCCCUUAAAACACAUCGUAUCCACAUUUCUCAAUCCGUUAAAAAUAUAAUUAUGGUUUGUCCACUUAUGUCUUAAUCCAGUACAUCACCUGCAUGAUUCAAAACUGUAGUAUAUUGAAAUGUUUACACUCCUGUCAUACGGGACCAUGAUAUCCUGUUAUAUGGGACCAUGCCACUCCUGUCUUAUGGGACCAUGUCACUCCUGUCAUGAUGAGGCACUCAGGGCGCACGGGUGGGUUCGCUCGAUAUCGUAGUCCCGUAGACUAGACACUGCAGUAGUCAGUGUUGUUUACAGAAAAACAAGUAUGACAUGGACUUGCUCUGUGAAUAGGCUCUAUACAAACUGUGGCCGUGUUGAUUAGUUUGAGAAGAAGAAAAAAAAAAAAGAAAAGAAAAGAGAGAAAUAUUUGAAACCGAUGUUUUGAGCGUGAAGUCAACGAUCAUAAGUAAGAAACAUGAAAGAUAAGCCACUAUUUUUUCUAGCGUCUUAAAGUGACCUUUCUAUAAAUACUUCUUAUCCCCCUUUUUUCCUCUCCUUCUUUCCUUCACACAAAGACAAACGAACCGAUUAUUUUUUUUUCUCUCUCUCUAACACACAUGUACGCACACAAAAGUGUACUUUCUCACAAACUCUUUCACUCGCACA